AUUGAACGCUGGCGGCAGGCCUAACACAUGCAAGUCGAGCGGAGCGGCGGACGGGUGAGUAAUGCCUAGGAAUCUGCCUGGUAUUUGGGGAUAACGUCCGGAAACGGACGCUAAUCACGCAUCCUAUCAGAUGAGCCUAGGUUGGAUUAGCUAGUUGGUGGGGUAAAGGCCUACCAAGGCGACGAUCCGUACCUGGUCUGAGAGGAUGAUCAGUCACACUGGAACUGAGACACGGUCCAGACUCCUACGGGAGGCAGCAGUGGGGAAUAUUGGACAAUGGGCGAAAGCCUGAUCCAGCCAUGCCGCGUGUGUGAAGAAGGUCUUCGGAUUGUAAAGCACUUUAAGUUGGGAAGCGUUACCAAAAGAAUAAGCACCGGCUAACUUCGUGCCAGCAGCCGCGGUAAUAC
rnacentral:rRNA from 1 species